rnacentral:rRNA from 1 species
UACGGGGGGAGCAAGCGUUGUUCGGAUUUACUGGGCGUAAAGGGCGCGUAGGCGGCCACCGCAAGUCAAUUGUGAAAUCUCCGGGCUCAACCCGGAAAGGUCAACUGAUACUGCGGGGCUAGAGUGCAGAAGGGGCAACUGGAAUUCUCGGUGUAGCGGUGAAAUGCGUAGAUACUGGGAGGAACACCGGUGGCGAAGGCGGCCUUCUGGACAGUGACUGACGCUGAGACGCGAAAGCGUGGGGAGCAAACAGG